GAUGAACGCUGGCGGCGUGCCUAAUACAUGCAAGUCGAGCGAACAGACGAGGAGCUUGCUCCUCUGACGUUAGCGGCGGACGGGUGAGUAACACGUGGAUAACCUACCUAUAAAACUGGGAUAACUUCGGGAAACCGGAGCUAAUACCGGAUAAUAUAUUGAACAGAAUGGUUCAAUAAUGAAAGACGGUUUUGCUGUCACUUAUAGAUGGAUAUGCGCCUCAUUAGCUAGUUGGUAAGGUAACGGCUUACCAAGGCAACGAUGCGUAGCCGACCUGAGAGGGUGAUCGGCCACACUGGAACUGAGACACGGUCCAGACACCGACGGGAGGCAGCAGUAGGGAAUCUUCCGCGAUGGGCGAAAGCCUGACGGAGCAACGCCGCGUGAGUGAUGAAGGUCUUCGGAUCGUAAAACUCUGUUAUUAGGGAAAAACAAAUGUGUAAGUAACUAUGCACGUCUUGACGGUACCUAAUCAGAAAGCCACGGCUAACUACGUG
rnacentral:rRNA from 1 species